AAGACCUGAGGGAAAUGUAUGACUUGCAUGAAAGGGCUCGACAGGCAUUAGGAAUUUUCUAGAUAUGCUCAGCCUAACACAAGGAGGUUGACUUUGAUCUGUUUUCUCAUAGCAUCUUCUACUAAGUGAGAAAUCUCAUGGGCUAACACUGCAGUCCCCCUGGUUUGGUAGCCUAAAUGGUGAUUUUAAAUGUCCCCUUUUUCUGGAUCCUUUGUAAACAUGAAAUCAUUCCACGGAUGGCUGCCUUAUAAUUUUUGUCUCUUUCCACUUUA
rnacentral:lncRNA from 1 species